rnacentral:tRNA from 1 species
ACGCGCAUGGGCGAGCGGGCGCUGCGGGCGGAAUGGCCGUUCGUGGCGGGGCGGCUGAUCGUCACGGCGCGGUUCGGGCCGGAUGCGGGCA